rnacentral:rRNA from 1 species
GAGUCUUCGGACUGCGGAAGAGUGGCGAACGGGUGAGGAACACGUAAGAAUCUGCCCCUCGGUCGGGGACAACUCUUGGAAACGAGAGCUAAUACCCGAUACGCUGUGGAGUGAAAGAAUUUCGCCGAGGGAUGAUCUUGCGUCUGAUUAGCUAGUUGGUGUGGUAACUGCACACCAAGGCGACGAUCAGUAGCUGGUCUGAGAGGAUGGACAGCCACAUUGGAACUGAGACACGGUCCAAACUCCUACGGGAGGCAGCAGUGGGGAAUUUUCCGCAAUGGACGAAAGUCUGACGGAGCGACGCUGCGUGAAGGAUGACGGCCCGCGGGUUGUAAACUUCUUUUCUCGAAGAAGAAACAAAUGACGGUAUUCGAGGAAUAAGCAUCGGCUAACUCCGUGCCAGCAGCCGCGGUAAGACGGAGGAUGCAAGUGUUAUUCGGAAUGAUUGGGCGUAAAGAGUCUGUAGGCUGUAUAGAAAGUCUUUUGUUAAAUUCCUCGGCUCAACCGAGAUCAAGCAAAGGAAACUUCUAUACUUGAGGGA